GAUAGCUCAGUAGGUUAAAGCAUGGUGCUGAUAAUGCCAAGGUUACAGGUUUGAUCCCCGUAAAGGACA